rnacentral:lncRNA from 1 species
UGUCGAACUAAUUAAUGAACCAAUGAGUAACUAGCAUAGAGAAGUCAAGAGAGCGGGUGCUGAGACACUGGAGCUCAGAGAGUGAAGUCACUGACCUAAAGCCACACAGAGUGAACAGAAGAGCCAGGCUGGAAGCCAGACAUCCCAGCCCUCACCCUGGACUCCUUCCUCUGUGCUUCUUAGUAUCUCAUAAUGUGCUGUCCCUUUAGCUGAGCUUUCUCUUUUUCUGCAAUCCCGGCCAACUGUGAGGUCUGGAGAGCCACCACAUCACGUGGAAGAAAAGGACAAGAUGCCAAGAUGCCUCACCUGGUUUUUCUACUCCAGCAGUCUAUCUGGUAAGAUGUGCGGACCCUGACUCCAGGCAGGAGUGCUAUGGGGAACUUAGAAGGGGGAAACUAAUCCAGAUUAUGGUCUCUCGGCCACAGCAGCUCCUGAGCACAGAUGGGCGUGCAGUACCUGCACAGGGACUGAUGGCAGAAACUUUAUCAAAUCUGUCUUUAUGAGCAGAGGGACCCAGUAACAUGGUGCUAUAGUCCAUUUUCCAUUGCUGGGUGGGUUAUAAAGAACAGAUACUGGCACGGGUAUCUGAUGGUGGCCUCUUGGCUGCAUCAAAACAUGUAGAGGUCCUCACUUUGUAAAGCAGAACAUGAGAGGAAAGCUUUUACAACAGAGGAAUUCCUUCAGCAACUAGUGAAUUCAUUAACCCACAGAUGCAUUAGGUAUUUGAGACCCAACACCCCCUCCAAGGUUUUAUGUCUCUAAUACCACUAGCAUGCAGUUUGAGGGUUAUGUAUUUCAUAUAUGAAAUCCUGAAUGACAUCUAAACAUAGCUUCAAGCUUUCUUCCUACCUGGUAGAGAGGUUCUUAAACCUAGGCACCCCACUCAUCUGCCUCUUCCUGAGAAAUGGAGUGUGCUGCUUCAGCUUGCCUGCUUGGUGUCCAUCAAAGUCUGUCAUUCUAUCCCAUAGCAAAUUCUUCCUCUUUAUUCUGAAUAAUAGAAUAGUAAAGUACCCUUUCAAAUGUUGGCUGGACUCCGGGCAUUUUGCAAACUCACAAUGCUACACAUCCCUCUUCACAGUCAGAGUACUGACUCAAUGGUAGCCUCUCAGGUGAAAAGUAAAUUUGGGUUCAAUCCUAGUGUCUGAAUCUAACAAUGAACUUUUUUCUUUAACCUGUAUACACUUCCCAUUCAUUCAUUCAUUCAUUCAUUCAUUCAUUCGUUUGUUUUUUCUAUAAAUUUUUAGUUGAACCAAGCUGUGUUACAAGGCACUUUUCUAAGCACUAGGUGAUAGCAAUGAACACGCAGACAAGGUUCCACCCGCAGAGAACUAACUUCCCACUCAAGCAAUAAGAGAAAAGUUGUUGAACAAGAAAUAACAAUACCAUCAAGCUAUAUAGGAGAAGACUGACUGCUGUGCCAAAGAAAGCACAAUGGUUACUUCUUGAUUGGAGGAUUGGAUGAUCUGGACCUGUUUCCUCAUGUUGAUGGGUACCAUACAUAGCCGGCUGAAAACUCUCCCCAGGAAGAUGGUGUCUGGGUGAGGAAGUGCCAUGGAGAAAGAGAACAUCAGGAAAUGGAGGUGGGCGUGGCUUCUCCUGGAGAAACCCCAAGUAUCAUAAGUCUCAGGAACUACUUAGUCUUCCAUUUUUGCCCUCUUCCCCCACUGUGUCUGGCUGAUCCCCCUAAUGAGUUUUUCUCCAGCUGACACAGGAGGCCUUUUGUAGUCACAGAAAACACACCAGCCACAGCCACAGCCCCCGAAGCAUCACCUGUAAACUCUCCAAGAAGUGCCUGUCUCUCAUUGUCUACUGUUUCAAUGCAGUGACUGCCUGACCACCACCUCUGCCACAGCCUUUCCACCUAGAUCCUCCCUCUGCUCAGCCCACUUGAGACUGGGAAGCUGGUCUGCUCUGCACUUAGCUGCUCUCACUCCCUCAGUGGGGCUACAGCUCUCCUGUCAGGGACUCUGGGAAAGUUCACUUCCUCUUUUGACUUCUCAGUAUGUAAGAAUUCUUCCAGAAUUGGUGGUUCAUCAAUUUCCUCUUUUGUUUCUUCUAAAAAGCUUAACGUGGGGGAAUCUACGGGUUCAGCAAGUACUAGAGGACCAGAGGAAGGGUUUUAAGAACAUUCACUGAGUACUCAAAGGCACAGGAACUAGACUCCCUGGGACAUAACAGAGCACACCAGAGCUUGGUAUAGGGAUUUCUGCAUGUCCAGGAAGCCCCUGAGAUACCUGCUCAGAAUGUAGUGAGUCCCUGUCCCUCUAGAACACCGAACCAGUCAGAAGGCAGAGGUAUGAGAGGCAGCCAGGGGAGAUCAUCACGGAGACCUGGCUUCAUAUAUUUCAUCUGUAGACUCUCUACCACUUGUCUGUGACUUAUUUUGCUUGAACUAUGUUAUAUUUUCUCUAGCUACAGAAGUAAAACAUAAUCAUUAUGGAAACAUAAUCAAAGUACAGAUGAGGAACGAAGUUCAAUAAUAAAAUGCUGGCAUGUCCUUUUAUGAAAAGAGAAAACUCACUAUUUGUAAAAGAUUUGUGUGUAUGUGGGCAUGCCAUCUAUGAAGACACCUGUGUAGGCCAUAAGAGGGUAUUGGAUCCCUUAGAACUGGAGUGACAGGCGGCCGUGAGCCCUUGACACGGGUGAUGAGAACCAAGCUUGGGGUUUGGGUUCUAUGGAAGAACAGAAAGGACUUUUAACUGCUGAUCCGCCUAUCUGGCCUCCAACUUUCUCACUUUUCAAGCGAGAUCACACUUUUUGUGGCGUUCUUAUAGCCUCUAUAUAAAGAACAACUUCCGACAGCUGUAACAGCAUUAACUUGGGCAAAUAAUAGUUCAUGAGUCUGCAAAACUCAGAACCACAUGAGAGUCAAAGAGCCACACAGUAUGAGUAGCUGCCUGUUAUAAACCGGUUAUGGAAGUUAAGCAGAGACAUUACUGGGGUUAUAGCUGAUAUGGCAGGACACAGUGGCUGUCUGUGAUUGGCUAAAGCUCAGCUGUUUAUGAUUGGCUGAAACCUGGCCAUUCAUUACAAAACAAAAAAAAGCACUCAGGCUUCAGUGUGCAUGCAUACCAAACUACAAUGUAGUUUGCUUCAUAGGAACUCAGAGAACAGAGGCAGCCUCUAGCUAAAGGCCCCUGCUUAUUUAAUAUAGCACCCCUGUGGGGCAUUUUUAAAUGUUGUUUCAUAUACCCGACAUAUUGUGAACAGCUUUCCUCGUGAUAGAAUGCCAUCCCAAAGCAGCUUUUUAAUGGCUGCUGAGCACCCUGCGGAAUGCAGGUACCAGAAUUUAUUCCAGCGAUUCCCUCUGCUAGGGUAUUUAAGUUGCUUCCAAGUUUCAUUAUUGUAACUCAGAAACAAGCUUUCUUUUACCUCGAUGGCCGCACACGGCUGUCAUUAUUUCUUCAGGCUAGGUUGCUGGAUGUUGAUGUGUUGAAUUGAGGAUAUGAGAGUUUUAUGUUUUGUCUACAUCUCACCUUACUGUUCUCAACAAAAGAAAGCUUUCAUUUGGCUGCUGCCCAUUGGUCACAGAGGUGUUUCUUGCCACCUUGUGACAUUUCCUCCUCGUGUCACGCUUCCUUAGGUGCCCAUUUAACCUGUCUCCAUGGGGAUGAUGGAGGGUAGGCAUUGCUAAAAUUUCUUCCCUAGGAAGACAUGAAUAACUUCCUUCUCCUCUUAAGGUCCCAAUGUUAACAAGAUGCAACUCCACCAGAGUUCAUUCUGGGAAACCUAUAAGUUUAUUAGGGAGAGUCUAAUAAACUGUAUAACAAUGGCUAAGGGGUUAUGGGCAUAGGUAAUCUUAAACAUUAACACUGGAAGAUCUGCACCCAGCAUGGAGGAUGACCCCCCCACACACACACACACACUGCAAAGAUGACGUCAUACCCCCUUAACCUCCCCUGUCCAUACUUUAGCCCCUCUCUGAGGUCACAUGCAAUUAGGGAAAAAUUGCAUACAGCUGAUUGGGACGAGCGUCUGGGUACUCUGGUGAGGAGCCUAUGACCCUGAAUGUCCUCCCCCACCAGCACCUGUAAGGUUCUUCUAAAGUUAACAAGCCCAGCUGUGUUGACCUUUUGAAAUCAGGCACAACUGAUCCGAUAAAGAAGGUGGCAGUUUGUCCAGACAUGUAUUUGUCAGGUGUGUCCACUCAGGUAAAGCCAUGCGUGUAGCUCACACCAGGCAUGUCCAGUAUAAAUGUUGGUGGAACAAGGCAGUGUGUGAUCAAGUAACUGCCAUAACCAAUAUGAAUCUUGACACAGGCUACACAGAGGCUUAUAGAUCCUGGGGCCACACCAGCCUGAACUGGAAUACUGAGGCUGACUUGGGCAUGAGCUCCCUGCACCUCAGUUUUCCCAGUUGGGAAAUGGAGUCAUUAUAUCACAUCCUGGUGGAGGGGUCUUUGGAAAUCAAAUGGAAUUAGUGGGGGACAAAUUCAAAGCACGGAGCAAGGACCAUGUGGGCCUUCAGCACAUACUACUUAGGAUUUUCAUGAAAUAGGCAAUAAUUUGAGUUAACAUAACAAACUUUAUUUGAGGCCCUUGAGAGGCCCAUGAAACUGCUAAGGGUGAUUUGUACCCAGCACAACAGCUAAUCUCAGAGGAAAAGAUGCCCAUGUUAGUUAACUUCCCGCAGUUUACUGUGUUUUGUGUUUCAUAACUCAAUGCCUCUUUACAUUUCCUGGGAAUUUGUAUUUGGCUCACUAUGCUCCAUUUUCAUAAGGCUUGCCCUGGGGAGGCUACUACACAGCAAGGGAUGGGGGUGGGGGGUAAGCCCAGGUUUGGCCAGCAGGUCAGAGACUCUCAGCUGGUGAUCCUGGGGAAAAUGCUCUCCCGCUCAGAGAGCAGGUGGAUCCCAGCUGUCUGAGGCCUUAGAAGAAUUGCCUUGCCAGGCAAUUUCUUACAGAAAGGUGGGCCUAAGACCAUGAGUGAACUUUGGAAAUGCUAUUUGAGAACUUUUAGAAUAAAAGGGAACAUUUUUCGUCAGUCUCGAAGCAAUCCCACGUAGCACCCAACAUGAGCAUGUGGUAACUUCGUAAUUGUGCCCCAGCUCCCUUCCCCCACCUUAGCUCUUAUCUCACUCCCACAUAGUCCAGCCUCAUGGAGCUGUGAGCCCUGUGAGUCAGAGCACAUUCUUCCAGCUCUGGACUUCUGAAUGAACUUUGGGUCUUUAUUUGUGUUGCUUGGCUUGAAUGUUCUGAGCCCUUCCCUAUGCCAAACACUGUUAAACAUGGCCUUAAUCUUAAUUACUACUGUUAAAUAUUUCAAACAUCAUAAAAGAUGAACAUAAAUCAUAAAAGAAUGAACAGCAAUGCACACCCAUUUCUGUCUUAGCUGAGGUAAUAUUCUGCCCCUCAUUUGUUUCAGAUCUCUUUGUUCUAAGAAAUAAAAUGUUAUAAAUGUGGUAGAAUUUCUUUCCUUGCUUCCAAGACACACUUUUUUUUUGCUAAACACUAGUGGGCCUUUGUCCUCUCCCAUUUUUAUCCAUUUUCUACAAAUGUAAAUAUUCAUAAAGCACAUACAUAGAAAUGUUUGCUUAAGUCUUUUCUCUAUGGUGAAAACCACAGUAUGAAAUCCGUGCCCUUCACAAAUGUAUGCACGUACCAUACGGUUAGCCAUCGGCACUUUGCUAUGUGGUGGAUCUCUAGUAGGUUUUCUCUUUGAUGCUGAAAUUGCAUGGCCCUUGGACAGUAAUUCAUUCCCUCUCCAGCUCCAGGCAGCUGUCACUCCAGUUUUUUGUUCCUAUGAGUUUGACUAUGUUGGAUAACUCAUCUUUGUAAAACUAUUCAGUGUCUGUCCUUCUGAGACAGGCCAAUUUCACUUAUCGUGACGUCCUCAGAAUUCCUCCAUGCAGUACACAAGACAGAAUCUGCACCUUUCAAGGCUGAGUCACACACACAACAUGUUCUCUGCAGCUUCUUUCCCAAUAGCCAUGAGUUGGAAUGAACCAAAAUGUCCCUUGAUAAGAGGAUAAAGAUUACAUACAGUGUGUACACGGAAUGGGAUAUUCUUUCCCUUUUCUCUUUAGGUUUAUUAUCUGUCUAUAGACGUGUUAUUGUUUGCUAUUCAUAGGCAAAGAAGCCGGCAAUUAAAAUUAAGCAAGUUGUCUAAAUUGAAUAAUUGCUUAUAUUAAACCUUCUAAACCCUGUCUAAUCUGAUCACUAGAUUAGAUUCCAUUCCACUUCCCCCCAAAACCAGAGUCCCUUCCCCAUUCCUUUGGACCACUUGAUGACCAAUGUUACUGUGUCAACCCCAGUGAACUGCUGGUGGCUUAUCCAUCUCAUUCUUCAGGGAAAACAAAACAAAACAGAUCCUUGUUCAGUCUGGAGUGCCAGCACUCAGGACAGUGACAGUGACCAGUACCUGACAAGGGAGCAGGGAGUUGUUCUUAAAGAACAUUGGGAGAAAAGAGUGUGUAGACACAAGGGGACUCUGGUGGAGUUCCUGCAAAGCCACCUGCAGGACACCCAGCUCUAGAAACACUUUCUCCUGUGUCCCUGCACUCACAGUAUUGAGAACUCUUGAUUUUCCAUUUUAUGCAUGUGAAAUUUCAGUCAAAACAACCACAGAAACCUUAACCUGCCUCCAUGCUUACACAUUAGACACUGGGAAAAGGACACUUAUCACUUUUGCCCAGGUCUGGUUUUCUGCAUACUUGCAGAUAAAGAAUGAAUUGUCAAGAUCCAGUGGGUGUUUCAAGAGCAUCCACUGAAUGGAAGAGGUGAUGACAAACAGAUUUGCAGUUGAGUUGACCCAUUCAGGCCAUCUUUCUUCAGCAGUACUCCAGCUCUGUUGGAGACAUUCAUAGGUCACCAUUGUAUUCUUCCCUUUCCUAAAAUAAACCAUGGUGCGUUAGUUUAUUUUGUGUACUAUUUUAAUUCAAUUUAUUUCUUAAUUUUAAAAAAUGGUUUUGGAGGCCAGAAAGCACUUGUCAGAACAACCUGAGUUCAUUCCCCAGAAUCUAUAUAGUGGAAGGAGAGAACUAACAAGUUGUCCUCUGACCUCCACACUUGCAUUGUUGUAAACACCCCACCCCAGAUGUUUAAAUAAGUUUUCCACUUUCUGAGCAACAAGUCGUAGGAAAUCACGGAUUACAUAAUCUCACAGUGUGUUUCUCUGACAACAGCAGGGUAUUCAGAGGAGCAGGUAUGUACUUGUGUCUGUAAGGCAUGGAUAUAGCUGGAUGCUUUUCAGGCACAUACUUGUAUCUAUACAGCACGUAUGCAGCUGGUUGCUUUGUGCACCAUUGUAUCUCUAUUCAAUAUGAAGUUUCCAGCUGUUCCAACCUGAAACCAGCUGUGAGUAGUGCACAAUUCAGAAAGUAAAUUGGUGUAUAGGUCUCCAACAAAACUAAAGUGCCAUCAUCUUUUCUGGACACCAGAUAUCCACAUCCAGCCCAGCCUGGUGACCCUAUAAAUGGGUCACCAAUGCCCAGAGAACAAACCUGAGGCUUGCUUACAAUCGAACCAAAGGAUUCCCCUUUGAAGAACAAGUGGAACCUGGUACCAAAUAACUAAUUACUAAUUACUAAUAACUAGAUCUGAAGGCCAGAGGUACAUACACUUGGGGCAUGUUUGAGUAGGCUGGGACAUGCAGAAUGGGAAGCUUCCAUGGGAGCUCUGCCAGCCAUGCCAGGAAGACACCAUGGCUGCUCCAACCUCUGCAGUCCAGCUGUGCAUGGGCAGGUGUUCCAGCUGAGCCUGAGCCUUUCUUUUUCCUAAAUAUUUCUUUUGCUAGCUUUAAUUCUGUGCAUGUAUGUACUAGGGUAUAGAUAAUUUUAUAACUAUUUUACUUCACUUGCAUUUUGAAUGUGGCCCAUCACGCAAGUUCAGUAUCAGAUCAGUUUUUCAAAAGUUUCAGAUGUUGGAGCAGUUUGGAUUGGAGGUUUUCAGAUUAGGAUGCCCAACGUGGACAAUAUGUCUGAUUAGUAUGUUAGGUAGCCAACUAAUUCCAUGAGGUGAAAGGAUAGGAGAGAGAGAAGUAGGAGCUUCAAUGUAAGAUAACACAGCAUGGAAUAACUAUUAUGUCUCCAGGAGGACUUGAAGAAGCUGCCCUGCUCUUUGAAAGCUCCCUCCUUCCCAGACCAAGCUGCCAGUUGCAGCAUGGCUUCUGCAGACAAAACGAGCUCAGUGCCCACUCUUGGAGGCAGAGUGUUUAUUGCUAAAGGACAUUUAAAUGGAAAACAGCCCAGCAACUGGAAUCAAUGUGUCCUUGGGGAAAGAAAGUGGAAUUCUCUGCUAUGCCACACCAGUAAUGCCAUGAACCAAAGCCUCAAUUUCAUGGACUCCUGAAGGGCUGCUCAUGGGGGUAAGGAAAACAUAAAGUCACACAGAAGGCUAAAACUGAGGAUUAACCUAGCUAAAAGACACAAGACCUUUCCAGAAAUUGUAAAAUUAAAGCUUGGUGCUUUGCAUCGUCCUUACAGUGGUGGCCUGGAACUUUAAGUGUGGGAUGCAUAGUGUUUUCUUUACAAACAACACACGUUGAAAGGGAGAGGGUCACUUGAAGAAAUGUAACAAACACUGCCUUAAUGAGGUGAUCAAGAUAACCAUUAACGGUAGCAGAGUGUCAUGGAAGUACUUGCUGUCAGCAGGGAAGGAGGCUACUUUCUUUUUGUGGCCUUUCUUUCCCCACCCUAAACUUUAACCUAAUUGAGAAAACCAUGCAGAUGAAUCCCAGAAACAUUAUACCUUAUAAGUGCUCCUCGGCCUGUAAGGUCAUCAGACACAGGGAAAGUCAACCAGGAGAUUUCUUAGUUCACAUCUCUAAUUACUGUGAUUAACACCAUGGCCAGCAGUAACUUGUCAGAGGAAAGGGUUUAUUUUGGCAUACAGCUCACAGUCCAUCAUCAAAAAACCAGGGCAGGAUCCCAAGGCAGAAACCUGGAGGCAGGAACUGAAGCAGAGACCAUGAAGGAACUCUGCUUACUGGCUUGCUUCAUCUGGAUUGCUCAGUAGCAGUCUUAUACAGCCCAGGACCACCUGCCUAAGGAUGGUACCACCCACAGUGGGCUGGACUCUCUCACAUCAUCUCUGUGUAGCUUUAGCAAUCAAGAAUAUUCCCACUGCCACACCCACAUACCAACUCAAUGGAAGGCAGCUUCAGUUCCAGUUUGCGUCAAGUUGACAAAGGCUAGUGGCGAGUACAUGUCAUGUAGGACCCAGGAACAGAAAAGGAGUGAUAAGUAAAACUUAGAGAAAUCUGAGUAAAGUGUGGGUUUUAGGUAAUAUUAAUCUACCAAUAGAAACUAAUCUAGGUGUUGUAAAUGAAGCUGAUAAUAAGGGAAAUUGGAGGCUGUAAAAUGCAC